rnacentral:lncRNA from 1 species
GCACGUAAGACGGCUACUAAUAUACAAUGGAGGUCAGUCACGGUCUCCUACAGUUAAGUUCAUGACACAUUUCCAUGUUUGUUCAGUCCAUGCAGAGCCACUGUAACUCUCAUAUGUUACUGAUAGGCACAUGAUAUAGUAAAACUAGUUGGGCAAUUUCUUAAAUAGUGAAGCGUUCAUCUUCCUAUAACCCAGCAAUUUUACUCUAGAUUAUUUAUCACAGAAAAUGAAAACAUAUCACAAAAGGCCUUGAAUAAGAAAGUUCACAGAAGAUGGAUUUAUAAUAGUUGAAAUUUGAAGACACACAUAUCCCUAUAAAGUAAAGACAGUUUAAAUGCUAGUAUAAGAAAUGAAAUGACAAGGGAGCAGCCUUGGAAACCUGCCCUGAGACAACAGAGAACUCCUAGAGAAGAAGCAGGAGGGCAAAAGAGAACAGAGGAGGAGAACGGAAGGGCCGCCUCCUGGUGA